rnacentral:lncRNA from 1 species
UAUCGUACUGGUAUUUUAAUUUUUUUGAAACCGUUAAAUCGUCCUGUCCGAGUAGGGCCGUGUUCUGUGUUCUGUGUUCAUAUAUUGCUGCGAUUUCAAUAGGUACGAAUACUCGAAAUUUUAUCUGAACCCAAAUACGAACGGAACGAAUUUAUCCGAUGUUAAAUGGAUAUGAUUUCGGAUAUGAAUAUCAAAAAUAAAAAACCCGACGGAUAAGGGUACAGAUAUGGAUUUUGACUAUACCUGACCCAAUCCGAUUCGAACCCAAAUUUAUUUUACAUUAUAUAUGAUAUGUAUAUAAAAAUUUGAUGUUAUAUUUGAAUUUGUAUUUUAAAAAUUUAGAUUUAAUGUAAUAUAUUUUGAAAUAUUGAAAAGAGGAAUAAUUAUUUCGGGUUCGGAUUUUUAUAUUCGAAUUUGGUUCAGAUUUCGAGUUUUUAGUUGGAUUCGGUUUUGGAUAAUUGGAUAUGGAUUUUUGAAAUCCAGUAGGUUUGGGUUUGGAUUUCGGGUUCAUAUUCAAGUUCGGAUUUUUAAAAUCUGCCCCGAAUCCGACCCGUUGACAUCCCUAGUGCCGCUUAGGUAUGUAGGGUUUAAGGAAUACGGUGCAUGAGAUUUGAG